GUGGGGAAUCUUGCGCAAUGGGCGAAAGCCUGACGCAGCCAUGCCGCGUGAAUGAUGAAGGUCUUAGGAUUGUAAAAUUCUUUCACCGGGGACGAUAAUGACGGUACCCGGAGAAGAAGCCCCGGCUAACUUCGUGCCAGCAGCCGCGGUAAUACGAAGGGGGCUAGCGUUGCUCGGAAUUACUGGGCGUAAAGGGCGCGUAGGCGGAUCGUUAAGUCAGGGGUGAAAUCCCAGAGCUCAACUCUGGAACUGCCCUUGAUACUGGCGAUCUUGAGUGUGAGAGAGGUAUGUGGAACUCCGAGUGUAGAGGUGAAAUUCGUAGAUAUUCGGAAGAACACCAGUGGCGAAGGCGACAUACUGGCUCAUUACUGACGCUGAGGCGCGAAAGCGUGGGGAGCAAACAGGAUUAGAUACCCCAGUAGUCC
rnacentral:rRNA from 1 species